rnacentral:rRNA from 1 species
GACGAACGCUGGCGGCGUGCUUAACACAUGCAAGUCGAACGGAAAGGCCCUGCUUUUGUGGGGUGCUCGAGUGGCGAACGGGUGAGUAACACGUGAGUAACCUGCCCUUGACUUUGGGAUAACUUCAGGAAACUGGGGCUAAUACCGGAUAGGAGCUCCUGCUGCAUGGUGGGGGUUGGAAAGUUUCGGCGGUUGGGGAUGGACUCGCGGCUUAUCAGCUUGUUGGUGGGGUAGUGGCUUACCAAGGCUUUGACGGGUAGCCGGCCUGAGAGGGUGACCGGCCACAUGGGAACGGAGUUCCGGCCCAAACUCUUCCGGGAGGCAGCGGUGGGAAUAUUGCACAAUGGGCGGAAGCCUGAUGCAGCAACGCCGCGUGCGGGAUGACGGCCUUCGGGUUGUAAACCGCUUUCGCCUGUGACGAAGCGUGAGUGACGGUAAUGGGUAAAGAAGCACCGGCUAACUACGUG